rnacentral:miRNA from 1 species
GGAUUGUCGUUAGGGAGGUAA